rnacentral:SRP_RNA from 1 species
GCCGGGUAUGGUGGCGCACACCUGUAGUCCCAGCUACUCAGGAGGCUGAGGCAGGAGAAUCGCUUGAACCCAGGAGGCGGAGGCUGCAGUGAGCCGAGAUGGCGCCACUGCACUCCAGCCUGAGUGACAGAGCGAGACUCUGUCUCAA